rnacentral:rRNA from 1 species
AGUGAACGCUGGCGGCGUGCCUAACACAUGCAAGUCGAACGAUGAUGGAGGAGCUUGCUCUUCCUGAUUAGUGGCGCACGGGUGAGUAACGCAUAGGUAAUGUGCCACUUAGUCUGGGAUAGCCACUGGAAACGGUGAUUAAUACUAGAUACUCCUUCUCAUUAUAAGAUGAGUCGGGAAAGUUUUUCGCUAAGGGAUCAGCCUAUGUCCUAUCAGGUAGUUGGUGAGGUAACGGCUCACCAAGCCAAUGACGGGUAUCUGGUUUGAGAGGAUGAUCAGACACACUGGAACUGAGACACGGUCCAGACUCCUACGGGAGGCAGCAGUGAGGAAUAUUGCACAAUGGAGGAAACUCUGAUGCAGCAACGCCGCGUGGAGGAUGACGCAUUUCGGUGUGUAAACUCCUUUUAAGAGGGAAGAUUAUGACGGUACCUCUUGAAUAAGCACCGGCUAACUCCGUGCCAGCAGCCGCCGUAA